GGUUCGAUGGCGUAGUUGGUUAUCGCAUCUGUCUAACAACGAGUCGCACAGAAGGUCCUCAGUUCGAACCUGAGUCGAAUCA